rnacentral:rRNA from 1 species
GACGUAGGAGGCGAGCGUUGUCCGGAUUCAUUGGGCGUAAAGAGCGCGCAGGCGGCUUGGUAAGUCGGAUGUGAAAACCCGAGGCUCAACCUCGGGCGUGCAUCCGAAACUGCUCGGCUAGAGGUAGGUAGGGGAGAUCGGAAUUCCUGGUGUAGCGGUGAAAUGCGUAGAUAUCGGAAGGAACACCUGUGGCGAAAGCGGCUCACUGGACCAUAACUGACGCUGAGGCGCGAAAGCUAGGGGAGCAAACAGG